rfam:Hordeum vulgare subsp. vulgare, WGS project CAJW01000000 data, contig: morex_contig_1208338
GGCCGACCCUGAUCUUCGGUGAAGGGUUCGAGUUGGAGCACGCCUGUCGGGGCCCGAAAGAUGGUGAACUAUGCCUGAGCGGGGCGAAGCCAGAGGAAACUCUGGUGGAGGCUCGAAGCGAUACUGCCGUGCAAAUCGUUCGUCUGACUUGGGUAUAGGGGCGAAAGACUAAUCGAACCAUCUAGUAGCUGGUUCCCUCCGAAGUUUCCCUCAGGAUAGCUGGAGCCCAUUACGAGUUCUAUCAGGUAAAGCCAAUGAUUAGAGGC